GAUGUGUGGAGGUGUUUCGAGGACAUUUUGAAUCGCUGUUUGGAGGGAAUUUGACAGGCUGUACUAAUCGUUUGUCUGUCCUUGGUGUAAAACUCUUAAGCCUGAUUUAUACCGACCAAUUUCAACAAGAAGGAGCAGGAGCCCUGCUUAUGUUAGGGUGGCUGUGACAAACUUCAGGCUCAAACAAACAAAGACAAACAUGACAGCAGCCUCAUGUGCCUGCUUUGGGAUUGCCCAGUUUGAGGGGGUUAGGACCAACGCAGAAAAAAGCGGGAAAAAUGGGAACCUCUGAUGCCACUAGAUCAGUUUCUUCUGCCAGUACCCAUCUCAAUCACUGCCACAUCAGCUGGUCCCAAGGUUGUGAGGUCGUCAGAACAUCUGGCCCCCUCCGCCAUGUUUUCUAAGUUGGACAUAGUGAAAAUAUAAUCGACCUACAGCAGCGGCUUUCUCAACCUGAUCUUUUCUCACUGGAAGAAUUACUGCAGGUGGAUGGCCUUCUGCCAGUUAGACCUGGCUCCGAGUGCUGCAGUGUCAACACUGAAGAGUGAGGGCCAGAGGGGUGAUGGUGUUCUUGGCUCGAAGGCUCAAAGGCUGAUGGAACGUGGACUUCUUUUUUCUGAGGCUGCCAGGUCUCAGAUACCAAAGAGCAGUGGAGAAAAAAAAAACACAUUUCUGUGUUAAAACUUCAAAUAUCUGAGUCCUGAAAGAGAUGAAACCCAACAGGAACUGCUGACAGGAUUUUCUUGCCAGAGCUGUGUUGAUGUCUCCUGAUUAUUUCCCUUCCUUGAUUAAGGGCUGUUCUGUGAAGAUUCAAAGCAUUCAGGGGUGUGAUGGGAUUAAAUGAGACACUGUAAUGACCCUGUUGUCGGAAUGGCUCAUCAUACAGACACAAAGCUGAGAUCGGAGCCUGGCGAAAACCAGGAAACACUGUUAUAAACUGGGAGCACAGUGUCACGUUGUUGUCUUUGAGGAAAGAGAUUUAGCUUUUUCUGUUUUAAAUUCUUCAAAUGCGGACGAUUAUUUUUUCAAUAGCUUGCUCUUAUUUAUGUACUAUGUUGGCUUAAAGUCAGUUUGAAGCAUUGAAAUUAUAUUUGGAUAUAUUGUCGUUCCUCAAUCGCUGUAAUUUGUUGAGUUAUAAGAAACUAAAACUCUGUCUCGUUCACAUCUAAUGAAAAAAAAUGCUGAUAAAUAAUA